AGCACAUGACGUAGCAAUACAGAUGGUGGCGACCGGCGCACGGGUGAGUAACACGUAUGCAACCUACCUUCAACAGGGGAAUAACCCGUCGAAAGACGGACUAAUACCCCAUAAUACAGGGCUCCCUCAUGGGAAUAUUUGUUAAAGAUUUAUCGGUUGAAGAUGGGCAUGCGUUCCAUUAGCUUGUUGGUGAGGUAACGGCUCACCAAGGCAACGAUGGAUAGGGGAACUGAGAGGUUUAUCCCCCACACUGGUACUGAGACACGGACCAGACUCC
rnacentral:rRNA from 1 species